rnacentral:lncRNA from 1 species
UCACCAUGUUGGCCAGGCUGGUCUUUAACUCCUGACCUCAGGUGAUCCGCCCACCUCGGCCUCCCAAAGUGUUGGGAUUACAGGUGUGAGCCACCGCACCCAGUCCCUUGGUUACUUUUUCAAGUGAACUUUUUGAUUCUUGUUACUCUCUGGGGAAAAGCCUGGCGUUUUUUGUUUUUUGGUGUUACCCAGGCCAGUUGUCCUGCAGAAUGUCCACUCUGGGUUUGUCUGAUGUUUCAUCUUCAUCAGUUGUGGGUUGAAACUUUGGCACAAACUCUCCUCAGGAGGAGCUGUGCCC